rnacentral:lncRNA from 1 species
CUCCCGGCUACUUUUUUGUAUUUUUAGUAGAGAUGGGGUUUCACCAUGUUAGCCAGGAUGGUCUCGAUCUCCUGACCUUGUGAUCCACCCACCUUGGCCUCCCAAAGUGCUGGAAUUACAGGCGUGAGUCACCGCGCCUGGCCUAGGAUGCUUUUAAAAAAAUCUGGCUGGGAAAAGGAGAAGAGAGCUAGGGUGGUUGACUGAAGGGGGUAUGUUUUGUUUUGUUGUAAAGAGGGGAAUUAUUUAAACUUUCUACAUGCUGGCAAAGAAGACAGGAGAGGGAAAAGAAAAAGCUAAGCACCGUUCCUGAGACAGUGGGAGAGGUGGAGAUAUGGGAUCCAGACAUAGGGUCAUGGAGGCCUGGCCUUAGUAGAGUCACCCAAGAUUGCUGCCAGAGAGGUGCCCAGGGUGGACUUUGGCCGUGAAUAGAACCAUGCUGAAUUAGCACACCUGAAACGCUGACUCUGGGCCUCCCACACUUGGGUCAGCAGAGCAAACCACUUUGACCCUGGGAGUCUUGACUUCUGCUUCUUCCAUCCUAAGUCAACCACACCUCAGCGACUACCCCCUUCCCCAACAUCUAAGGACUACUGGCCCACAACAGAAAAGAAAUGAAAUUGCCAAAUCACAUUGUUUAGAUUUUCAGCAUUCCAAUGGAGGGCUUGGGGUAGACUGGCAUGCCUUCUUCCUCCAAUUUUUUGUUUUGAAAAUUUUCAAACUUAAGAAAAGUUGCACAAAUAAUACAAUAAAUACCAUAUUCCCUUCACCUAGACUCACCAAUCUUUAACUUGGCAACAUUUGCACUCUCUGCAUAUAUAAUUAUAUAAAAAUACAUGUAUGUAUGUGUGUGUGUAUAUAUAUGUGUAUGUGUGUGUAUAUAUAUACACAUAUAUGUAUAUAUAUACACAUAUAUGUAUAUAUAUGUGUAUAUAUGUGUAUAUAUAUACACACAUACAUACACACACUCAUACCACACACGUACUUUUUUCCUGAGCUAUUUGAGAAUUUGCUGCAGACAUCAUGAUACUGCACCCUUAAGAAAUUUCCUGGGGGAAGUAAUGUUUCUGCUGGAACCUGGAUGAUGAUAAGUUAGCAAGAUAAAAGGGUGGGCAUAGAAAAGCCUGUCUCCAAAGAAAAAGUCCAUUCCCUCCAGAACCAUCACACCACACACUCUGAUACUAUUAUAAGUCCAUAUGUGAAUUUCUCUAAUUGUCCAAUAAUGUCUCUUAUAGAUUUUUAAAAAUUUGAGGGCUGGGUACAGUGGCUCAUGCUGGUAACCCCAGCACUUCGGGAGGCCGAGGUGGGAGGAUAGCUUGAGCCCAGGAGUUUGAGACUAGCCUGGGCAACAUAGUAAACACCAUCUCUAAAAAUAAAAAAUAAAAAAAAUUAGCCAGGUGUGGUGGUAUGCACCUGUGGUCCCAUCUACUUGGGAGGCUAAGAUGGGAGGAUCACUUGAGCCCGGGAGGUCAAGUUUGAAGAGAGCCAUGAUCACGCCACUGUACUCCAGCCUGGGCAACAGAGUGAGACCCUGUCUAAAAAUAAUAAAUGAAUAAAAUAAAUAUAUAAAUAAAAAUUUGACCGACAGCUUAGUAAGGAUUAUAUAGUUAUGUCUGCUACUGUUUAAAAAGGCUUUUCUUUUUUUUUUUUCUUUGACAUAGAGUCUUACUCUGUUGCCCAGACUAGAGUGCAGUGGCACGAUCUUGGCUCACUGCAACCUCCACCUCCUGGGUUCAAGCAAUUCUCAUGCCUCAGCCUCCCAAGUAGCUGGGAUUACAGAUGUGUGCCACCACACAUGGCUAAUUUUUUUAUUUUUAGUAGAGAUGGGGUUUCACCAUGUUGGCCAGGCUGGUCUCGAACUCCUGGGCUCAAGUGAUCUGACUGCCUCAGCCUCCCAAAGUGGUGCUAUUACAGGUGUGAGCCACCUCGCCUGACCUAAAAACACUUUUCAGCUCCAAUUUUAAACUUAAAAUUUUUCUUAUUUUAAAAACAACAUAUGCAUGUAUUAUCAAAUACAGGAAAAUAUGAAGAGACAGAAGUACUUACUGAUCAUAAUCCUACCACCAGAGACAUCACUAUGAAUAUGUUUGUACAUUUUUUUCCUGUGCAUUCUAAAACAUAGUUAAGAUUAUGCUAAAUAUACAGUUCUCAUGCUCUUUUAUGUCAGAAGUGUUUUCCCAUGACAUUUUAAACCCCAUAGACAUAAUUUUCUAAUGGCUACAUACUAUUCUAUCUAACCAUUUCCAGAGGUUGGAUAUUUAUCCAGCUUCUGAGACUUCCUGUUAUAAAACAACACUUUGAUGAACAUCUUGGUACAUAAAUCUUUUGCAUGUGACUACUUCCUUAGGACAGAUUCCUAGAAGUGAAAUUCUGGGUCAAAGAGUAGUAAUAUUUUAAAGGCUGUUUAUGCAUACUGACAAGCUGCUUCCUGGCAAUUUGUCCAAACUUUUACUCUGACUAGCAUUGUAUGGGAGCUUCCCUGAGUGAAUGCUGCCUUUGAAGUGGGGUCAGAGACUGAGGACCAAGGGGCACAGAGAAAGAAGAGUGUGGUCCUCGAUGGGAGGACCCAUCACAAACCGUCUUGCACAGUGUAAACCCUGGAGAGGGGCUGAAGAAACCACUGCAGCCCGGGGCCGCCCAUUCUACCUGGCCCAUGGUAGGCACUCAAGAAAUGGUUUGCUACGUGAAUAAACAAAUCCACAAACAUAUAUUUCUGAAUUCCUAUCAUGCGUCAAACACAAGAGAUAGGGAGAGAGGAGGAAAAGAAAAGCAAGGGAUCAUGGGAUAAAAGGGGACAGUGGCAGUGGGGUGGACAGAAGUCAGAACUAAAUUUACCUCAUGCUUUAAUUCGGCGAGUUUUCUUAGAAUAGUCUGACCAUUGCUUACGUUGAGGGUCUAUAGUCCUCCCUUCCCCACAAGACAAAGUCCAACCUAAUUCAGCACCAAGAUCCAAGCAGCUUGGAAGAUACAGGAGGGAAAAUUCUGGUGUAGAUUAAGUGCCACCCCCCAGCAAUGGCCAGGACACAGCAGCAAUGUUACCUAAGAAAGCAACUGCGCCUCUUGCUGAUCAGCUAGACAUGAGGGCAGUGUCCUACCUCAGCGGUUUGCAGCGGACAUGCUGUCAGGCCAUUGGGAUAGUUCCCAUAAGCCACUCCUGGUUGUCACCACUAUUCCAAGUGGGCAGGAGCAGCCUUAUUGACUGAGAUGGGCGGCUAUGGACACACAUGGGUGUACGCAUGUGAUGGAAAUGGGGGCUUGGGGCCCUGAGGGUCCACAGGGGCUGCGUGGUCAGGGAGGGUGGGCAUGGCAUCACAGGCACCCCAGGGGAGAAGCUGGCUUUCUUCCCAUACUUUUGGCACUGUUUUCUGUUUUGUUUGCCUUCAAAGAGCAAGUGAUGGCUGGACAGCAAAGAGGAGUGGAGGCCGGGAGAAUGGGCAGCUAGCCCAGCGCUCUCCAAUAUCUGGGAGUCGACCGCACUCCUGCACUCCCUGUCAUCCCUGCUAAUGGUGAGGAACUGAGCAAAAGAGCCUCCAGAGUGACAGGUGACUUAAAGCGCACGUGGCUCUACAUUUACAAUUGAAGUGGGCUUUGGAGAUUGCAGAUUCUGAAUACCUGCUGGGGUGGUACAGAGGCUGUGUUCUGGUUUUGCCAUCUUGGACAGGGGGUUGGGAGUCUGGGGGGCUGCCUUCUCUCCUCUUCGUGCAGCUCUGCUGGGGCCUGUCUCACACUUGUGAGCAGAGUUAUGGCUGGAUUCCAGGGGAGACAGAGCUUGGUUGUGAAAUGUAAGGUUGUGAAAUGAAGGGCUUGUGAAAUGAACAAAGAAUGUAUUUAAGGGUCUUUCAUUUUAAAUCGAACACUUACAUAGCACUUACUACUUGCAAAGCUCCACUCUAAGCACUUUACCCAUCUUAAUUCAUUUAAUUCUCUUCUCAACCCUAAAAAGCAGGUAUUACCAUUGCUCCAAUCUUACAGAUGAGGAAACUCAGGCAUGGAGAGGUUGAGCGACUUGCCCAAAUUCAUGCAGUUAGGACCUGGCAGAGCUGCGCUUUGAACCCAGGCUGCCUGGCUCUAGAGUGUGUGCACGAAACUUCACUGCCAUAUGAACAAAACUGCAGGACAUAUGUUCUCAAAGCAAAUAAGCCUCCCAGAGAGGCUUUUCCUGAUGGCUUCAAGGACCUGCCCUAGCCUGGUCUGACUUCCCAGAGGGGAUCCAGUCCCAACAUUGGCCCUAUCUUUAGACCACAUUUCCAUCCCAUUCUCAGUGAAAACCCUGAGUCAUGACAGAAGACAACCAAUGCUGGAGAGAGGAGGUUUCAGGUAAUGCCUGUUUUAGGCAUCCUCUCCUUUAAGAAAAAUUUUUAUAUCAAGGCACCUCAACAUAAUAAUACCUUUAUUGCAUAUAGGUAGAAUAUAAAACUGACUUGUAAGACCACUCUGUGUGUGUGUGUGUGUGUGUGUGUGUGUGUGUUCUCUAGCUAGCCUGCAGGGACGGGACUCAGUUCCUCAGCAGCCCAGUGCCUGGCACAACAGGCAUUGAAUUAGAAGUGCCAGACAUUUUCAAACUUUAAGGUAUAAUUUGUUUGGACACUUUGGCUGGGCAUUUUGAUAAAACAUCCCUAGUUAAAAGAUGGCAACCAACAGGCAUCAAACCAAAACCACCCUCAAAGAGCAAAAUAUAAGGCCUUUGUAACAAGAGUCACAGAGUUAUGGCUGGCCGCGGUGGCUCAUGCCUGUAAUCCUAGCACUUCGGGCCGUCUCUAUUAAAAACACAAAAAUUAGCCAGGUGUGGUGCUGCAUGCUUGUAAUCCCAGCUACUUGGGAGGCUGAGGAAGGAGAAUUGCUUGAACCUGGGAGACAGAGGUUGCAGUGAUCGCUCCACGGCACUCCAGCUUCACUGCACUCCAGCCUGGGUGAUGGAGGAAAAAAAAAAAGCAAACUCACCGAGUUACAGAAUCAGCCAUUCUAUGGAGCCAGAAAGAGGCGCCUCAGGGAGAAUCUGUGACUCAAGAACACUUGCUGAGGGUCCCGGGCUUAGGUGCUUUGAACUUCGCUAAGGGCAGUCUUCUAGUUCUCUGUUCUUCCCUUCCAGGAGGACAACAGUCAGAAUACCCCCAAGACGUCCUUCUUUCCCUAAGGUCUCAAAAUCCUUGCCUCAAGAAGUUAUUCCUGAAGUCUAGCUUGAAUUCCUCCAGAUAGAGUUUAAACCAGACAAACAGCCUACGAACAUGUUACAAUAUUCAAAAACUUCUAAUUUAGUCACCAUCACUUGCAAAUAGGGAUAUCUCAUGGAAAUACGAUUUCUGAUUUAUCUUGAAAAGUCAAGAUGAUCUGGCCACAAUGGGCCUGCACUCCUGUGAGGUGGUAUCAUUGGCUUGGGGGUCUCACCAGUGCCACCCUGCAUGGGGGCACCGGGUGACAUGAUGCUCGAUUGAGCUUUCCCUCCAGGCUGGGUAAUCAGAGGCCAGGCCCUGUGUGUCUUCCAGGGGAUGCUGUCCUGAUCCAGGCUGGUGAGGCAAGGAGGGGCUGCGGCUUCCUGAGCUCUCCGAGCUGCUAAUGUGCGUGGGGAAUGCUAAGCAGCCUCCAGGCUCUGACCAGGAUCUGAGGGGCACCCGCAGCAGUGCAGACGGACCGCUCCAUUCCGUCAGAGGCCACACUUAUUUCACCAGUUCCAUCCUGAUGUUUUCCAGACUUCUACAUAACAGAUGAUUCACCAGUGUGUCCCCCCAUGGAUGCCUCUGCUCACAUAGAAAGGGUUAAUUCUUGGAAGCUGAGGUGCUGUCAAAGGGCAUCUGACAGAUCAGCCGCCCUCUGCUCCAGGGGUGUGGUCUUCCUCUCCGACCCAUGAUGCGUGGCAGCCUGGCUGCCCACACCCUCAGAUCCCUGAGCAGCAGUGUCUCGCUGUGGUUUUAUCAGCAGUCUUUUUAAAUUAAUUUUUUUUUUUCUGUCACUUGCCUGGAUGGAAUCAGCAGUCUUUUUAUUAUGAGGGAGAUCAAGCACCUUUUCAUGUUAAAUCCCUCCUCCUUUUUUUAUCCUUUUCCUGUGAGCUACCUGUUUUUCUCUUUUAUCAGGCCUGGAUAUUUUGGGGCAAUGCUGGGCUGUCCUAGUACUCCCUGCCUGUUCCAGUUGAUCCAGGCUCCUUAAAGCUCCAACAGUGUGGAUUCUGUGAGCAUCAUGAAAGCCCAAGGGUGGUGGUCUCUCCAGGUGUCAGAGAGCCAAUGCAUUUUAGAGUGUGAUGGACAUGAAAUGAUGGAGACAGUGUGUAUCUACUUCCCUUGAAAGCUCCUCCAGCGAAUCCAGAGCCAGCAUCUUCCUGUAGCAUCUGCCCCUCCCUCCCUUUCAGGCCUGUGGUAACAUCUCCUCCUGCAGAACCUGGGCCCUGCUAUCCUGCUAUCAAAGGGUGGAGAGCCUGAUGGUCUGUGAAAUUCCCAGGGAAGGUUCAGGUAUCAGAAAUGCACUGAAGAACCACCUGAGCUCACUCUGUUAAUGGCGAUAUUUCACGUGAUUUAUCUGGAAGGGUUGGUAACUGAUAUGGUAACAAAUCUCAUCUUGAAUUCCCACAUGUUGUGGGAGGGAUCUGGUGGGAAGUAACUGAAUCAUGGGGGCAGGUCUUUUCUGUGCUGUUCUCUUGAUAGUGAAUAAGUCUAACGAGAUCUGAUGGUUUUAAAAAGAGGAGUUCCCCUGCACAAGCUCUCUCUCCCUGUCUGUCUGCUGCCAUCCAUGUAAGAUGUGGCUUGCUCCUCCUUGCCUUCUGCCAUGAUUGUGAGGCUUCCCCAGCCACUUGGAACUGUAAGUCCAAUUAAACCUCUUUCUUUUGUAAAUUCCCCAGUCUCGGGUAUGUCUUUAUCAGCAGCGUGAAAACGGACUAAUACAGAAACUUAGCCUGGAGGUCCUGAUUAACAGCUAACGCCUCCACCCUUACACAUAGCUUCUGUUUUGUAGUAAGUGCUCAAAUGACUGUUGAAAGAAGAAAUCACGAACAACUGUCUGACUGCCCUCUCUUUUGUCUAGAGGUAGUACAGUUCAAAUUGGUUCGGUGGUACUGUGUUUACAAAGUCCACUUUCUGACAGCUCCAACCAGCUUUCUUGCAAAUUUCAAAAGCCUCUUUCUUUGGGCCUGGGAACUAGGUUGGCCAAAUAAAAUACAGGAGACCCAGUUAAAUUUGAAUUUCAGGUGAACAACAAGUAAUAUUUUUGGUGUGUGUCACAAACAUUGCAUGGGACAUACUUACUGUUUUUGAUUCCUGUGGCUGCUGUAGGAAAUGACCAUAAACUUGGUGGCUUAAAACAACAGAUAUUCAUUCCCUCACACUUCUGAAGGCCAAAGUCCAAAAUCAGGAUCACUAGGUUGAAGCUAAGGUGUCAGCAGGGCCACACUCCCUCUGGAGCUCCAAGAGAGAAUUGGUUCCUGGACUUUUCUGGCUGCUGGUAGCUGCCAGCAGUCCUUGGCUUGUGGCCACCUCACUCCAAUCUCUGCCUCCAUCACCACAUUGUCUUCUCUUCUGUGUUUUCCAUCUCUCUCUUCCUUCCUCUUACAAGGAUGAGUGUGACUGCAUUUAGGACCUACCUAGAUAAUACAGGAUAAUCCCCCCAUCUCAAAAUCCUUAAUUUAACCACAUCUACAAAGACCCCUUUUCCAAAUAAGAUCACAUUUACAGGUUCUGGAGAUUAGGACCUGAUAUCUUUGAGGGACAUUAUGCAGCCUAUGCCAAUUAUUUGUUGUUAUCUGAAAUUCUAAUUUUCACAGAUGCCCUGUGUUUUAAUUUGCUAAUUCUGACAGCCCUACCUGGGACCACACCUUAUUAGGAGACAGCAAGGAUUUAAGUGAUUUUCCUUCAACUGGCACCACCCUUCCUUGUGUGGUGGGGAGAGGCCCAGUCCACAGACCCAGCCCUGUUCAUCAAGAUCUUUUAUCUUUGAAGUGGGGCUUAUAGUUUACAGUGGCAUUCCAGUUUUCAGGAGAAUCUAAGGCAUUUGGCUUAACUUUUGAACAGAUCAUGGCAAACAGUACAUGUAUUCCCACUUUUAGCAUUCAAAACUCCAAAUACAGACCUGUUCCCCUCCACCCUCCAGGAAGGUGGAAAGAUGAACAAAUAAAUAUAUAAGUUAUGUAUCUGUUCCCCUUUCUGUUCUCAAGUCUCUUUAAGAAAGCCUUUUUUUUUGUUGUUUGUUUGUUUUUUUGAGAGCAGGUCUCGUUCUGACGCCCAGGCUGCAGUGCAGUGGUGCCAUCAUGGCUCGCUGCAGCCUCAAUUUCCUGGGCUCAAGUGAUCCUCCUGCCUCAGCCUCCUGAGUAGCUGGGACUACAAGCGCACACCGCCAUGCCCAGCUAAUUUUUAAAAAAUUUUUUGUAGAGACAGGGUCUCCCUAUGUUGCCCAGGCUGGUCUCGGACUCCUGGCCUCAAGUGAUCCUCCCAUCUUGGCCUCCUAAAGUGCUGGGAUUCCAGGCGUGAGCCACUGCACCUGGCCCUGUUUUUGUCAUUUGAGACAGGUUCUCGCUAUAUCGCCCAGGCUAGUUUCAAACUCCUGGGCUCAAGAGAUCCUCCUGCCUCAGAUUCCCCAGCAGCUGGGACUACAGGCGCAGCCACUCACCAGUGUGGCCUUAGGGUUUUUGUAGUCAAUAUUGAACUCACCCACUCAUCCAUUUAUUCACUCGUGAAUCAAUUACUGAGUGCUUAUUCUGUGCCAUGCGCUAUGCCCGGCACAGAAGACACAAAGAUGAAUAAAGCAUCUCCCUGCGAUGGGCGAGUGAGGGAGGCUGGAUCCCUGGGGAAGCCCAAAGAGUGGAAUUAGACAACAUUGUGGAAAUUAAACACAAAUAACGGGCACUAGUGAUGUGAAGGCAGCAUGAUUCCAUUUGAUGUGAAACUAGAAGGAUAGAAACUCAUUUACCAAUUAUCUUUAAAUUCUAACAACUAUUUUUAGCCUUUAGAUGUGGAAAAAAUAACUUGUAUUACAGGAUGUGUUACCUAACUGUCUGCUUUAACAUGAUGGUGGUUUUCCUCCUUCUGUCUUCUAGAUCCCUGGAAAUGUGGGUGCAUAUGAGGCUCCCUCUGCCUCCUCCCACAGCCAUAUGAGCUGCCGCCUCCUAGGAGAACCUGGCAGGGCUGGCAGCACCCCCAGCUCCCCAGUUCAGCCCAGAAGGGGGCUGCCUGGACUCCAAGAUUUCUCCCUUCACCCGCGGCUGCCUCCUGCCCCCAUGACUACAGUGUGGUGAGCACUUUUUGGUACAAAUUAUGCCUCACUGCAAAUACAUCUUAGUUUUUUUUUUUUUUUUUUUUAAGGAAAAAGCCAUCUGUUGAUUUAUUUAUCAUAUGGCACAAAUUCUCAAGCUGAAAUUCCAGGUCUCUGCCCAUGAAAAACAAAACAAAAGCAAAAACACUUUUUUUUUGUCUUUGGGGGAGAAAAGCAGUGAGGCACUGGCAGUUUAAUAAAGGGUAGGACCCCUAGGCUAAAGCAGUGAAUGGGAAAGCUAGGGGGAAGACCAUGCCCCAGGGAGCAGAAGCCCAGGCAUAAGAAGCACAAAUCCUGGGUUCGAAUCCCCUACCGGCCUCAAAUUAGCCACGGGACUCCAGGUGCCACUUGACUUCCCUGAAUCCCUCUGAACCUCCCUGAAUCUCAACGUCCUAAUCUGUAGAAGAGGGGAAGGAAUUUUUCACUCACAGGCUCAUGUUAAGAAUCAAAUGAGAUCAUAUAAACUGUAAAGUACUAUCCACUUGUUAGUAAUUUGGGGAGUGGGGGGACCUCCCAGCACCCUGAAAUCACAUCGUGUGGGCUACCCAAGUGUGAGGACACCCCGUGCCUGUGUGUUUCCAGUGCCCCCAUAUCACUCUCCUGUCUCAAACACCUAGAGGUUGACAUCCAAAUAACAAUAUUAAAGUGACUCAGAUUUAUUAUUUUUUUGAAAUGGAGUCUCACUCACUCUGUCGCCCAGGCUGGAGUGCAGUGGCGCGAUCUCAGCUCACUGCAACCACUGCCUCCCAGGUUCAAGUGAUUCUCGUGCCUCAGCCUCCCAAAUAGCUGAGAUUACACGUAGUGCUCCACCAGGCAUGGCUUUUUUUUUUUUUUUUUUUUUUUUGAGACAGAGUCUUGCUCUGUCAACCAGGCUGGAGUGCAGUGGCACCAUCUCAGCUCACUGCAACCACCUCCUGGAUUCAAGCGAUUCUCUCCUGUCUCAGCCUCCCUAGUAGCCAGGAUUAUAGGCACAUGCCAUCAUGCUUGGCUAAUUUUUAUGUUUUUAGUAGACACGGGGUUUCACCCUGUUGGCCAGGCUGGUCUCAAACUCCUGACCUCAGGUGACCACCUGCCUCAGCCUCCCAAACUGUUGGGAUUACAGGCAUGAGCCACCACACCCAGCCUAAUUAUUUGUAUUUUUAGUAGAGACAGGGUUUUGCUAUGUUGCCCAGGCUGGUCUUGAACUUCUGGCUUCAAAUGAUCUGCCCACCUCAGCCUCCCAAAGUGCUGGGAUUAUAGGAGUGAGCCAUCACGCCCAGCUGACUUCGAUUUGUUAUUGGGACUGACCUUCUAAUUAGUCCAGAUUGGAUCAAUAUUUGUGUAUCCAGAAAGCCAGGUAGUCCCAAGUGUUCUCUGCACAUUGUGGGCCCAGUAGGAGGCAGGGCUUAUCCCACUGGAAGGUGGCAGUCUUAGGAGCCUUAGUAGUGGAGUCCCCGUGACAUGGGGUCCAGGUGUCGAUCUCUCUGUUGCCAUUGGGCAGCCCAGGGCACACUGGUUGCAUCUGUCCCCCGGGCACAGGGUGUUCGUGGUCUAAGGCUAUGACCAGUGUGCCCUGGGCUGCCCAAUGGCGACAGAGAGAUGCCCUCUGCCCAGCUCCUAAUUUUGCACUCAGGGCUGUGUGCCAAGGUGCCCGCACUCUGCAGCUCCCGCUGGGAUCCAUGGGGGCCUAUGCAGGCCAUGCUCGGGGCCAGGACUGAUGAUACUGUCUCCAGGUGGCUCCACCCUUCAGUUUUGGAUGCUUCUAAAACUUUUCUUGAAGAAUGACUCAGUACUCACCCUUAAUACAAUUUAUAGGCUGAAAUGAUCCCUCUGCCUGCUCCACCUGCUCCAAACCCUGAUAAAACAGAAACUAGGGUGGGAUAUCACAUAUGGUAUCUUCACUUUGUAGCUGGUGGAUUUUCUUAAAUGUGGAGGAGAACGUGGGAGGCAAGACCAGAACUGAGAAAUGACUCUUGCUUUUAGUUAGAGGGAGGGUGGCUGUGGGAAGUGUAUUUCAACGCCAUGAAAGUACCCUGUGAGGUUGCAAAUUCUAAGUAAUUCGAUAUGCAUAACCCCAGCCUCAGCUGUGUGAGCUCCUCCCUUCUCUGUUCCCCAUCACUCCCCCUUUUCCUGGUCCCAGAGUGUGAACCACAUUGGUGUAGACAUGGGGAAAGUAAAGUGGAUUUUUGAGGAAGGGGGAUCAGGUAGUGUAGCCCAACAGACUAGAAAAUACAGACUCAGUCUCCUCACCUCCCCUCUCACUGUGACCCUUUUUCUUAACAGUAGAGGGCUGACUUUGUCUGCCUUGCUCAGGGAAACCGCCCCACUUUUAAUUAAAUUUCUCCCUGUAGAUGCUGUCUGGGAAGCUGAAUGUCAUCUUCCCUGGGCUUACCUGCCAGGCUCCUCUCAUCCACAUCUUCCAGCCUCUAGCCACAUGGACCCCUCCGGAAAGCAUGUGUGUGUGGGGGGUAUGUGUGAACAUUUUUCAUGCUUGAUGUGAGCCGGAAGAAAAAUGAGCUUCUCUAUUUGAUAAGUGUGGACCUGCCCACAGCACUAAAUUUGGUUCUGCCGUCACCGGCGCCAUGAAGCAGCAGCCUGGUUUAGAGGCUUGCCUUUGGUUUCAAAUAAUUUCUCCAGGCUCAUGUUACAUAUGACCCAUUCACAGAGGCUGGAGGGCAUGGCUUCUCCAGUCCUUAGCACUAAAGACGUGUCUUUUGGCUCCUGCACGACUAGCACAGGCAGUAGAACCAGAUGGGGGAUGCUCUGAGGUUGCAGAGGCAGGAAGGCAAGCGGGAGAGAGCUUGGGCCUGGACAGAGGGAUGAGCUGGCUCCCUCCCCAGCUGUGAAAUCUCUGAGUCUCAGUUUGCUUCUCUGCAAAAUGAGGAUAAUAAUCCCCACCUCGGGACUGAGGAUUAACGAGGCAAUGGUUUUAGCAGAAUAAUCCACUGCUGCUAUUAUUAUCAGCAUCUUCGUAUAGCAAAACUCAUUUGGACCAAUGGGGAGUGCGUUAAGUUGGUCUGAAGUAGGGCAAAGGAACGAUUAUAGAAUGUUUCAAAGGAAAUGUGUUUUUUAUUAUUUCCAUGUAUAUAGAGUACUGGAACUGAGUGCUAGGAGGUGGAGAACUGACUUGAUUUAAAUAAGGAGAGCUCAUUUGACAUUGGCCUGUUUGAUUUCUCAACAUCCAACUGUGUUAAUAAAGAGGGUUUUGAGCUAUCUAUGUGCCCAGCUCUGUGACUGGAGAAGGAAAGUCACAUAAGACACAGUCCUUGCCCUCACAGGACGUGCAACCUGUGGGCAGAUGAGUCCUACACAGGAAGCGGGGGCAAGAAGGAAACUGUGAGGCACUGGGGAGCACGGCGCUGCCACAGGUGAGAGGAAACGCGUAGCCUCUGGACCUUGAGUGCCAAGGCUGGGGAAAGCUUCGGGGAAGAUGGACACUGAGGAAGGUCAGGUCAAUUUAAAUAGGGGGUGGGGCAGGGAGAGAGGGGCAAGGCUGCCAUGGGUGAGCAAGGGGCAGAAAGAGCACGGCAUCUAUGAAGGAGCCACAGGGCAGGCUGGCAGGAGGCGGGACUGGGCAGGGAGGUGAGCCAAGGUGUGGGGACCCGGGCAGGCAGCUCGAGGCCAGCUUGGCUUAGCAGGCGAUGCCCAUGGCAGGACCACACUUGGAGAGGGCCAGGGCAGGUGACGGGGUUGCUCUGGGAGGAAUUUGGCAAUGGCAUGCAAAACGGAUUGGAUAUGAAUUUUGGAAUUGAAACAGGGAACAACUCAUUAUUGUUUCCAUAAGGAUCCGAGGGUGAGAUGAUAAGGUCUAAAAUCAUUUUAUCGCUGGUGAGAGUGUGACUGGAAACAGAGGGGCAAACUGAGGCAAUGCCUGGAAGAAACUGGCGGGUCUGUUCCAGGAUGUGGAGGGAGAAGAGCUUAAGGCUCCAUGGCUUGCCACAUUCGGGACUGGAAGAUGGCAAAUUCCAGUGACCGAAGUGCACAGACCAGGUGGUAAUGGGGGCAGCAUUUUACUAAAACGCAAGGCUAUGGGGCCACUGGACACCCAGGACUGGCACUCAAACCUGGCCACGCUGGAGAAGAGAUGGGCCAUUGUCAGGGUGGGGGUUAUGCAUACACCCUGAAAUACCUCCCACCAUCCACGCUCCGGAGAAACCCUCCAUUUACAGGGUGAAGGCAAACUGACUUUAGCCCCGCUCUGGCUCAAUUCAAAUGCCAGGUGCAAGCAGUUCAAUUAACGCGCCUGCCCCGUGCCUUUGACACCAAACAGAUGUCAGAAUAUUACACCAUCCAAGUCAAUGCCUGGCUUUAAUUUAAUCACUCAUGCCUUAAUCGAUUCCUGUCACAUGCUAAACACUGUGAGUGGUGGGGAGAGGCUGCUCCUAGGCAUAAUUAGAAUAUGAGAUUCUGUACCAAGUCCCUGUCUGGUUAGGAAAAAACUGAAAACUCCAGAAAAAACAGAAAAGCUCCCAGGAAAUUCCAUCCAAGGGUCGUGACUUGAGCCCAGAAGGAAGUCCCAGCCCUUCCCCAGAGAAGUCAGCACUGGCAGGGGCUGGAAAUCACUUGAGGUCAUGCUCAAGGCACCCCCACCCACUGUCUUGCACCCUGGUUUGGGGCUCCUUCCUUCCAAAGAAGGGGACAGACAAGAUCAGUGCAGGCUGGGCUGUGGCCACCCAUGCAUCCCUCCUGGGCACGGACCCUGCUGGCUCAGCCCUCACCCCUAGGAACCAGCUGCACCGUCUGACUGACGCUAAGGGAGCCAGGUGGCAGCAGCUAUACUAUUUCAGGUCAGGCUAAAGUCAGCCCACCAAAGACUUCAGAUCAGCACCUGACUGCGGCUCCUGGGAGGCAUCCCCCAGCCCUGCAGCACUUCUGAGAAGCUCAAAGGAAUUCUCUUAAGUUGUUUUAUUUCAGUUCUAUGACUAUGCGAACAGAAGAGAGACCACAUUAUCAUCCAUUCUGAGGGGGAAGACAGUAUAAUCUCCAUUUCUCAGAUGGAAAUAUGGAGGCAUGGGAAAUCUUAAUCUUGGCCAAAAAUCUCUUAGUUGACAAAUGAAUUCAGGGCUUGGCAACCCUAAGCAGCCAGUGAUAACAGGGGCCCACAAAUGAGGGAGUAGCUUGCUUCUGGAAUUCAGUCUUACUGGUAACAAACGAUAAGAUCUUUUUAAAAGUCUUUUUAUUUUUAUUUUUUUUAACUUGGCCCAGAUUGUCAACUUAUGAAUCCUACUGAUUAAAAAUUUUUUCUUGCAUUUCUCAUCAGCCAUCGAACAUUGGUUCAUGAUUAUUUAUAGCACUUAAUGACAUUGAAAGGGAUUUAUUUCAAUUUAUUCAGUCUUUAUUAACACUCCACAGGGAACAGAGUGCAGCCGCCACUGGCCUUUUCUCAGGCACAGUUGAGAUGCUAAGAAGGGAGGAACUUCACCACUAAAGGAAGAACUGAACCCGGUGGAGAGAAGCCCAGGAGGCAAGUUAUCCCUAUAGGAUUAUCCAGGAAAAAUAUUAAAUAGGUUUUAAUAAGGUUCAGGUGAGUUUAUGAAUGAUCACUUCAUUAUUCAAGCGGAUUUAGGGAUGUUCUGCAAAAUCCUCCGUUUCUAAGCUGGCCUCAUGGGGACCAGCAGCAGAGGCAGAGGCUGAGCCGCUGCACUGGGGAUUGGGGCCAGCGUGGAAUUUCCCCUGCUCAUAGGGAAAAGACAAGACAGAAAACGGAUGGUGGGAGGGCUGAUGACUCUUCCAAAUGGCUAUUCCUGAUGUUUCCUGGCAAUGAGCAGCUAUGAAAGGGACAGGUUCACAUGCGACUACACCAUGACUUUUGCUGUGCCCCAGUGUAACAGGAGGUUAUAGACAACAGUUUUAUUUGCAUAUAUAACCUUUGCUUGGCUUAUUAACAUAUUGCUGAUUUAAAUUCUGAUACAUUGUCAAAGUAGAAAGCUGUUCGGGUUUUUGGCAAGCCCAGUAUAAAAAAUGCAGGCAUGCAACAAAUAGGUAGUGAAUAUUCACAUUUAAAUACAUGUAAAUAUAAAUAGAAUUAAAAAAAAAAAGUUUAGAGACAGGGCCUUGCUGUGUUACCCAGGCUGGAGUGCUAUGGGACAAUCAUAGCUCACUGUAGCCUUGAACUCCUGGGCUCAAGCGAUCCUCCUGCUUCGGCCUCCCAAGUAGCUAGGGCUACAGACACAUGCCAUCAUGCCCAGCUAAUUUUUACAGUUUCCUUUUGUAGAGACAGGAUCUUGUUUUGUUGCCCAGGCUAGUCUCAGACUCCUGGCUUCAAGUGAUCCUCCCACAGUGCUGGGAUUACAAGUGUGAGCCACCGAGCCUGGCCU